rnacentral:rRNA from 1 species
UACGUAGGUGACCAGCGUUGUCCGGAUUUACUGGGCGUAAAGAGCGCGCAGGCGGUCGUUCAAGUCGAGUGUGAAAGCCCCCGGCUCAACUGGGGAGGGUCAUUCGAUACUGAUCGACUCGAAAGGCAGGAGAGGGAAGUGGAAUUCCCGGUGUAGUGGUGAAAUGCGUAGAUAUCGGGAGGAACACCAGUGGCGAAGGCGACUUCCUGGCCUGUUCUUGACGCUGAGGCGGCGAAAAGCUAGGGGAGCAAACGGGG